rnacentral:lncRNA from 1 species
CUGUAUCCGCGACUUCCCGCGGGCACCCCGAGGUUCCUCGCAAAGUCUCGCCCCAUUCCGAGUCCGGCGGACGAACUUCGCCGGCGCCCCCCACCAAGGCUAUAGCCCACCCGUUUUUUGGCCAUUUUUCCAUUGGGGGGUUUUGGCACCACGACCUUCGGGCGCUUAUUUUUGGCCGCGGCUUUGCCCGCGGCUUAUUUUUGGCACCCUGAGACCCCUCGCAAAGUCUCGCCCCAUUCCGAGUCCGGCGGACGAAAUUCGCCCGCGCCCCCCACCAAGGCUAUAGCCCACCCGUUUUUUGGCCAUUUUUCCGCUGGGGGGUUUUGGCACCACGACCUUCGGGCGCUUAUUUUUGGGAGCGGCUUUGCCCACGGAUUAUUUUUGGCGCCCCGAGGCCCCUCGCAAAGUCUCGUCCCAUUCCGAGUCCGGCGGACGAACUUCGCCCGCGCCCCCCACCCAGGCUAUAUCCCACCCGUUUUUUGGCCAUUUUUCCGCUGGGGGGUUUUGGCACCACGAGCUUCGGGCGCUUAUUUUUGGCCGCGGCUUUGCCCGCGGCUUAUUUUUGGCACCCUGAGACCCCUCGCAAAGUCUCGCCCCAUUCCGAGUCCGGCGGACGAAAUUCGCCCGCGCCCCCCACCAAGGCUAUAGCCCACCCGUUUUUUGGCCAUUUUUCCGCUGGGGGGUUUUGGCACCACGACCUUCGGGCGCUUAUUUUUGGGAGCGGCUUUGCCCACGGAUUAUUUUUGGCGCCCCGAGGCCCCUCGCAAAGUCUCGUCCCAUUCCGAGUCCGGCGGACGAACUUCGCCCGCGCCCCCCACCCAGGCUAUAUCCCACCCGUUUUUUGGCCAUUUUUCCGCUGGGGGGUUUUGGCACCACGAGCUUCGGGCGCUUAUUUUUGGGCGCGGCUUUGCCCGCGGCUUAUUUUUGGCACCCCGAGGUCCCUCACAAAGUCUCGCCCCAUUCCGAGUCCGGCGGACGAACUUCGCCCGCGCCCCCCACCAAGGCUAUAGCCCACCCGUUUUUUGGCCAUUUUUCCGCUGGGGGGUUUUGGCACCACGACCUUCGGGUGCUUAUUUUUGGGCGCGGCUGUAUCCGCGACUUCCCGCGGGCACCCCGAGGCCCCUCGCAAAGUCUCGCCCCAUUCCGAGUCCGGCGGACGAACUUCGCCGGCGCCCCCCACCAAGGCUAUAGCCCACCCGUUUUUUGGCCAUUUUUCCGCCGGGGGGUUU